rnacentral:lncRNA from 1 species
AGUAAUCAUUUUGGUGGAGGAUACGGGCGCCGAUGCUUUGGCGAAUGAGGGCGCUUCAACUUCACGAGCGGUGGAGGCCUCGACUUCCAGGCGACGGAAGGAAGGGGCGCCUCGGGAGAGGGGGAAGAUUCUGAGUCCGACAUGGACCCUGAGGACAUCCGUCUAUUCCAAGAAGGUUAUAUCCGUCCAGCUGUGCAGGCCGAAGGGAACUAUCGCUACGUGGAGAUUCCUAAUGACCAGAACCUGCUGCUUGAGGAGGAGAAUUUGGUGACGUUGUUCGAGGUUAUGUGCUUGGAGGCGGAGAGUAUGUCCUUGAGGGGAAUCUCGGAUGUCGGGUUGAUGGGCGAGGUGGGCGCCUUGAGUAUAAAGGUACGUAUGAAACCUUGGGUUGUUUUCUUUUUUAGUACGUCUUCUUGUACUAACUGUUUCUCUGUUUGUUGUAGUCAUUUUUAUUGGAGGUGGAGAGCAUCAUGCGGGCUAACAUCCGCUCGGCAGUUUUUGUGCGGUUGUUGGGGAAGUACCGCUGCUAUCAUGACCAGUGUCGUGAUUUGCGUGAAUGCUUGAGGAACGACCAGCAAAAUUGGGAGCUGGUAGAAGGGCUGGCGCGGAGGGAGCUUCAUAUGCAACAGACCCUUAACAGGGUAAAUACUCUUGAGGGGCAGAUCCGUCAAAAGAACGAGGAGAUGGACGCUGAAAGAAGGGCGGCUACGGAGAGAGAGCGCCAAAAUCAGACGUGCUAGCAGAGGCCGCUAAAGCUUUAGCUAGGCAGGUGGAUGCCGUAGAGACGGAGGCUGCCGCUUUAAGGAAGCAGGCAGGGGACGCCCUGGCGAGGGUUGAAACAUUACAGGCGACCAACCGUGCCCAAGAAAGAGAGCGCAGAUUAGAGAGGGACGCCACUACUUUUCGAGGUAGUUGGAGGAGUGCAUUCCUGUUUGUUAACGGGAUGCUCGUGUUGCAGCAGACUGGAUUGCGGCCUUGGAGGCUGAGAACCAGCGCAUGAGGGACCUAGCCGCCUCUUUAGGUCCUGCUCGUGAGCUUUGGAUUUACGCUGAGGCCCAACUUGAUGUGUACAGAAGGUUGUGGGAAGCCGGCGUUGUGUAUGAGGCCACCUGUAAGGAGGCACGCCAAAAGGCUCGUGAUGCCCGCCUCGACUGCAGUUUUGAACCGUCUACACCUGGGGUGAUGAUGGCGCCGAGGGCGCUGACAAUGUUGAAGAGGGCACUGGGGGCGUCGAAUGAACAAUGAGAAAAUUUGUAAUAUCCAUUUAAUUUUCAUUCUCUUUAUCUCUUUUACUUUUUGUUGCCAUUCGGCUUUUUAUUUUUCUUUUCCGGCCUUGGGCCAGUGUAAUUGGGGGUAACCCCGUGUAAAUAUUGUAAAUAUACUUUCUUCCUUUCUGUUUGUUUUAUAUCAAUUUGUGCACUUCUUUUUUGUGCUCGUUUGAGAUGGCCUUGGCGAUUGAUAGACGCUCUUGGUCAUCACCUUGCUCCACUUGGUGGGAGUGGGUUGUAGUCGUGUCUGGGUAGUGGAGGUACAUAGCCUUAGUCCCAGUUCGUCCUUAGUUGAACUACUGGUCGUGGUAAUGAAGCGCAGCUUUAUAGUUCGACUUGGACUGAACUUUACGCGGGUCGAAACGUUAGUUUGGAGUUAGUCGUACUUAUUUGAAUGGCGAGGCGCUUGGCCCGAUCAGGGGUUCGUUCGUGGUAGGACAUUUGGGGGCGCUCGUCGUUGCCUGAUCGCAGCCCGGCUCAUAGCCUCGGGACGUGUUUCCUUGGAUUUGAUUUGUCCCUGGUUGAGUUUGUGGCUUUUGUGACGGAGGCGUGUAGCCUGAGUCCUUAUUCAACUCAUAGUUGAAUACUUUUGUAAUUCGUAAUGGCGGAGCACUUGGCCGGAGUCCUAGUCCAACUCGUAAUUGAUCUUUUAGGGUGAAGGCACAUAGCCUGAGUUGUCGUUCAACCGUAGUUGAACCUUUGUUAUUUUUGAAGGCACGUAGCCUGAGUCCCAGUUCAACCGUAGUCGAAAUUUUGGGUGAAGGCACGUAGCUUGAGCUUCCGUUCAACCGUAGUUGAACCUCUAUGAUUUUUGAAGGCGCGUAGCUUGAGUCCCAGUUCAACCGUAGUUGAACUUUUUGGUGAAGGCACGUAGCCUAAGUUGUCGUUCAACUGUAGUUGAACCAUUGUAAUUUUUGAAGGCACGUAGCCUGAGUCCCAGUUCAACCGUAGUUGAACUUUUGGGUGAAGGCACGUAGCCUGAGCUGCCGUUCAACCGUAGUUGAACCUCUGUGAUUUUUGAAGGCACAUAGCAUGAGUCCUAGUUCAACCGUAGUUGAACUUUUGGGUGAAGGCACGUAGCCCGAGUUGUCAUUCAACCGUAGUUGAACCUUUGUAAUUUUUGAAGGCACGCAGCAUGAGUUGCCGUCAACCGUAGUUGAACCUCUGUGAUUUUUGAAGGCGCGUAGCGUGAGUCCCAGUUCAACCGUAGUUGAAAUUUCGGGUGAAGGCACGUAGCCUGAGCUCUCGUUCAACCGUAGUUGAACCUUUGUAAUAUUUGAUGUCGAAGGCACAUAGCCUGAGUUCUAGUUCAACCGUAGUUGACGUUUUGGGUGAAGGCAUGUAGCCUGAGCUGUCCUUCAACUGCAGUUGAACCUUUGUAAUAUUUGAUGUCGAAGGCACAUGGCUUGAGUCCCAAUUCAACCGUAGUUGAAAUUUUUGGGUGAAGGCACGUAGCCUGAGCUACUGUUCAACCGUUGUUGAACCUCUGUGAUUUUUGAAGGAGUGUAACCUGAGUCCCAGUUCAACCGUAGUUAAACUUUUGGGUGAAGGCACGUAGCCUGAGUUGUCGUUCAACCUAGUUGAACCUUUGUAAUUUUUGAAGGCACGUAGCCUGAGUUCCAGUUCAAUUGUAAUUGAACUUUUGGGUGAAGGAGCAUAGCCUGAGCUCUUGUUCAACUCUAGUUGAACCUCUGUGAUUUUUUUAAGGCGCGUAGCCUGAGUCCCAGUUCAACCGUAGUUGAAAUUUUGGGUGAAGGAACAUAGCCUGAGGUGCUAUUCAACCCUAGUUGAAUCUUUGUAAUAUUUGAUGUCGAAGGCACAUAGCCCGAGUCCCAGUUCAACCGUAGUUGAUCUUUUGGGUGAAGGCACGUAGCCUGAGCUGCCGUUCAACCGUAGUUGAACCUUUUUAAUAUUUGAUGUCGUAGGCACAUGGCCUGAGUCCCAGUUCAAUCGUAGCUGAACUUUUUGGGUGAAGGCACGAAGCCUGAGUUGCCGUUCAACCGUAGUUGAACCUCUGUGAUUUUUGAUGGCGCCUAGCCUGAGUCCCAGUUCAACCGUAGUUGAACUUUUUGGGUGAAGGCACGUAGCCGAGCUACCGUUCAACCAUAGUUGAACCUCUGUGAUAUUUUAAGGCACGUAGCCUGAGUCCCAGUUCAACCGUGGUUGAACUUUUUGGGUGAAGGCACGUAGCAUGAUCUCCCGUUAAAUCGUAGUUGAACCUUUGUGAUUUUUGAAGGCACGUAGCCUGAGUCCCAGUUUAACUGUAGUUGAACUUUUUGGGUGAAGGCACGUAGCUUGAGCUGCCGUUCAACCGUAGUUUAACCUCUGUGAUUUUUGAAGCCGCGUAGCCUGAGUCCCAGUUCAACAGUAGUUGAACUUUUUCGGUGAAGACCCGUAGCCUGAGCUGCCAUUCAACUGUAGUUGAACCUUUGUAAUAUUUGAUAUCGAAGGCACAUAGCCUAAGCUGCCGUUCAACCAUAGUUGAACCUUUUGUUUUCCCACAUAACCCGCUUCGUAUUGGGCGUUGGGAUUUGCUUCCAAUUUCAGAUCUCUCCUAACUCGCGCUUGUAGUAUUCUCGAAUGGUUUGUAUGGUUCACCCCGUUACAGAUCUCGGUUCGAGAUGCUUUCAUGCUUUCCUCUUUUUUGGCAGGAUCCCGUGUGAAAAGGGGGCGAUGUACCUUAUGCAUAUUUUUCCCAUAGGGAUGGGGGAUCUGCUUCUUCUUCUUCUUUUUCCCUUUGAUCGGAGUCGCUGGGAUGUGGAAGCAAUCUCAUAACGAGGAUUUGUACUUCCUUUUACCUGAAAUGCCGCUUUGGCUUGUUCGAGCUGGGUUGUUCUAUUUCCUUCUUUGGUCUAAGGAUAAACUACGUGAUUCUACUAUGAAAUCCCCGAAGACGGCGCCAAAUUGUUUAGCUCAAAGUUUUCAUAAACCUUAUGGGAAUAAAUCAAUCAAAAUCAAUGAAGGGGCAAUCAUAGCAGAUCGUAAUAAAUCAAAAGACCAAAUGAAUAAAAUGUAAGAGACAAUAGUUANNNNNNNNNNNNNNNNNNNNNNNNNNNNNNNNNNNNNNNNNNNNNNNNNNNNNNNNNNNNNNNNNNNNNNAAAUCAAAAGACCAAAUGAAUAAAACGUAAGAGACAAUAGUUAUUAGUUAAAGGGAGGAGGGUGAAGAUAUUUUAUUAAUGGUAUUGGUUUGGUCUGCCUCUCAAUGGAGAGGUUCAUAGCUUUACAAUGAUGUAUCCUCUCUUUUAUUAGAGGUAUAUGUGAAGAAGAAGAAGCAGCCCCCCUUUAGGGUUCUUUCUCUUAGUAUUUAUAGCCAGGAAACCUGACAGUUGGCGCCGAGUGGUUGUGGCCACAUUGAGGGGACACCCUCAUAAGGACGGCCAAGCCGUAGCCUUAAUUGUCAAAUCAUGUAAUUGCCUGAUAAUAUUGUUAAUAAAUGGUCAUACCAUUUAUCAAUCACAAAUAGGCUUUAAUAAAUGCAUCGGUCCCAUUAAUUAUCGUUAAGUCAAGUUUUGACCCAUACACAUACCAUGGCUGCAAAACACUGGUUGCACGAGAGACGGGGGUAAUCAAUCACAACCAUACCGGGUUGCCACACCAAGAUACGGGCCGGGUCAUCUCAAUGCUCAAAGAUCAACCCAAAAAUAGAAAGAUUCAUAAGCAUAAUCACAGCCCUCACUCUACCCCAAUACAAACAAAAAAUCAAAUAGAGCACACAAAAAAGAACAUGCCUCAAACUAGCCAACAAUUCCAAUCUCAAACCCUAGUCUUGGCCAAAGAUUAGAUGGGAAAGAGGGAGAGAUCGCGUACUUGAUGAAGUCCUCAACGCCGAUUUUGACCGGCGCGGUUGAGAGAGCCGAUUUUGACCGGCGCGGUUGAGAGAGAGAAGGAGAUAUAGAGAAAGGGACGACAGAGCAAUUGAGAAAUUAUGGGAAAAAGAAUUAGAAUGUGAGGGUUAGGGGAAAAUAAGUUAACGUUUCCGACUACUGUAGCCGGAAACUAUAUAUUAUUUAAUUGUUUUCAUUAAAGAAUUCUUGGUUAAAAGUGGUU